rnacentral:tRNA from 3 species
GCGCCCGUAGCUCAGCUGGAUAGAGCAACAGAUUGCGGUUCUGUAGGUCGGGAGUUCGAAUCUCUCCGGGCGCG